rnacentral:rRNA from 1 species
GACGAACGCUGGCGGCGUGCUUAACACAUGCAAGUCGAACGAUGAAGAAGAGCUUGCUCUUCGGAUUAGUGGCGAACGGGUGAGUAACACGUGACUAACCUGCCCCUUUCUCUGGGAUAACGCUCCGAAAGGAGUGCUAAUACCGGAUACUCACAUCGAGGCACAUGCCUUGAUGUGGAAAGCCUUUGCGGUGUGGGAUGGGCCCGCGGCCUAUCAGCUUGUUGGUGGGGUGAUGGCCUACCAAGGCGACGACGGGUAGCCGGCCUGAGAGGGUGACCGGCCACACUGGGACUGAGAUACGGCCCAGACUCCUACGGGAGGCAGCAGUGGGGAAUAUUGCACAAUGGGCGCAAGCCUGAUGCAGCGACGCCGCGUGAGGGAUGACGGCCUUCGGGUUGUAAACCUCUUUCAGCACCGACGAAGCGCAAGUGACGGUAGGUGCAGAAGAAGGACCGGCCAACUACGUGCCAGCAGCCGCGGUAA